rnacentral:rRNA from 1 species
GACGAACGCUGGCGGCGUGCUUAACACAUGCAAGUCGAACGGAAAGGCCCUGCUUUUGUGGGGUGCUCGAGUGGCGAACGGGUGAGUAACACGUGAGUAACCUGCCCUUGACUUUGGGAUAACUUCAGGUAACUGGGGCUAAUACCGGAUAGGAGCUCCUGCUGCAUGGUGGGGGUUGGAAAGAUUCGGCGGUUGGGUAUCGACUCGCGGCUUAUCAGCUUGUUGGUGGGGUAGUGGCUUACCAAGGCUUUGACGGGUAGCCGGCCUGAGAGGGUGACCGGCCACAUUGGUGCUGAGAUACGGCCCAGACUCCUACGUGAUGCAGCUGUGGAGAAUAUUGCGCAAUUUGCGGAAGCCUGAUGCAGCAACGCCUCGUGCGGGAUGACGGCCUACGGGUUGUAAACCGCUUUCGCCUGUGACGAAGCGGGAGUGACGGUAAUGGGUAAAGAAGCACCGGCUAACUACGUG